AAGUCGUAACAAGGUUUCCGUAGGUGAACCUGCGGAAGGAUCAUUAACACGUUUCCAAACGUUUAAUACUACCAAACAACUGCGUGAACCUGUCUUCUCCCUACCAUCUUCUAUGCGUCUCUGCAUUCAACACUCACUGUGGAUCGAUUGUGCGUAUCUCGGUACGACUUCGGAGUGGCAUUGACUAGCAGGCCGUUGAGCCAGCACAUAGAGUUUGAUUAGGCUAUUUUUUAUUCCACAGCUAUAUUUACCCCAUUCUUAACCGUCGGCUAGGGCUUCGGCCUCGACGUGCUAUUUGACUAAUGCUAACCUAUGUUGGGCAUUGAGCUUUCGGGCGAUGUGUUCCAGCCUUAGGUUGAGUUAUGUAUAUAACAAAGCACAACUCUUAGCAACGGAUAUCUUGGUUCUC
rnacentral:misc_RNA from 1 species